rnacentral:rRNA from 1 species
UACGAAGGGGGCUAGCGUUGCUCGGAAUCACUGGGCGUAAAGGGUGCGUAGGCGGGUUCUUAAGUCAGAGGUGAAAUCCUGGAGCUCAACUCCAGAACUGCCUUUGAUACUGAGAGUCUUGAGUAUGACAGAGGUGAGUGGAACUGCGAGUGUAGAGGUGAAAUUCGUAGAUAUUCGCAAGAACACCAGUGGCGAAGGCGGCUCACUGGGUCAUUACUGACGCUGAGGCACGACAGCGUGGGGAGCAAACAGG